rnacentral:lncRNA from 1 species
GCAAUAACAAAAGGUGGAAGCGAAAGUCAAAGCCCGGUGUAGAAAGCUUCUUGAUAUAAACAGAAGCAGUCGGGAGGAGGAGUGCUAGCCCGACCAGUCAGUCCAGGAAGCUCCAGCUCGUACUCCAGAGGAACCCCAUACGGAAUCCUAAUCAGUGAGAGUUCCUCUGGAGUUAGAGAGCUAGGGAUGGUGUCUGGUACAA